UACGAAGGGGCUAGCGUUGCUCGGAAUUACUGGGCGUAAAGCGCACGUAGGCGGCUUUCUAAGUCGGGGGUGAAAUCCUGGAGCUCAACUCCAGAACUGCCUUCGAUACUGGAAAGCUCGAGUCCGGGAGAGGUGAGUGGAACUGCGAGUGUAGAGGUGAAAUUCGUAGAUAUUCGCAAGAACACCAGUGGCGAAGGCGGCUCACUGGCCCGGUACUGACGCUGAGGUGACGAAAGCGUGGGGAGCAAACAGG
rnacentral:rRNA from 1 species